CCUACGGGAGACAGCAGUGAGGAAUAUUGGUCAAUGGCCGAGAGUCUGAACCAGCCAAGUAGCGUGAAGGAUGAAUGCCCUAUGGGUUGUAAACUUCUUUUAUAUGGGAAUAAAGUGAUCCACGUGUGGGAUUUUGUAUGUACCCUAUGAAUAAGCAUCGGCUAACUCCGUGCCAGCAGCCGCGGUAAUACGGAGGAUCCGAGCGUUAUCCGGAUUUAUUGGGUUUAAAGGGAGCGUAGGUGGAUUGUUAAGUCAGUUGUGAAAGUUUGCGGCUCAACCGUAAAAUUGCAGUUGAAACUGGCAGUCUUGAGUACAGUAGAGGUGGGCGGAAUGCGUGGUGUAGCGGUGAAAUGCUUAGAUAUCACGAAGAACUCCGAUUGCGAAGGCAGCUCACUAGGCUAUAACUGACACUGAGGCUCGAAAGUGUGGGGAUCAAACAGGAUUAGAUACCCGAGUAGUC
rnacentral:rRNA from 1 species